AUCAGAUUUUACGAAACAAGGUAAGCAAAAACAGAACAGGAGAUAUAAAGAGAGCAAGAUUCGCCGUCGUAAGCAGGCGUUUGACAUGCCGGAAGUUAACAGACGAGAAAGGGGUAACUUUUCUUGAAAGGGUUCUCUUCUAAUUAAGUGGACUCAAAGUAGCGAAGACUUUAAGAAAGAUUGUGGAGGAUAAGGACCGAAAUCCCUGGUCGCUAGAAAGGAAAAUUGACUUUUUACAAGGAUGGCAUUUCUUUUUUAUUUUUCUGUUACAAAAGUCAUUGUUUUGCAGUAAAAUUCUAAAAACAAUGGCAAAAUCCCAUUGUUUGGAACAGGAAAAGUUGUGUCUGAUGUUCGCUGUUCAUUUAUUCAUAUCAUGUUACCUUUUUAUUUUUCCUGCUAUCUAUUCAUGUUACCUUCAACCAUGUAAAGAUUUUUUUUUUCAACAUGAGGUCAGGAGUCACCCGCCCGUUUCUUUAUAUUUUCAAACUCAAAGCAACUUUAUUUAUUUGCAUUUAAGAUUCUGGUCAUGUGUCCCCGGCACCAAUGGGGAUUGCCCUUAGCAAAACAUGUAGUGUCAAUAUUAUUAUUAUGACGUGGUAGACCUGGAGACAGGAGAGUGGACGAAGCACGGAAAUUCAUCAGGCUGCCGACGUUGACUUUCUUUUUUAAAAAGUAGCAGGGUCUACCAAAAAAACCACGUCGAUAAUGUUUAGUUGGGGAGUUAUCUGAGACUCUUAUCAUGCGCGUGGGCAUACGUCCUAUCAUUACUGCCUGUCUGCGUCCUGACCAGAUAUCUCAUUGACAAGACAACGCUUCUAUCCAUUUUCGACGAAGAUUUGAUACAUUGAAUCUCUCUCUUUCGCUGCUGAUUGAUGGACUCGUUUUUCUAGAGGGCGGUGUGUUUUAAUAUUUUACAUGUGCCGUCGUCUAAAUAAAAACAAAAUAAAAAUUAUCGCUGUCUAUUAAUUUUAUAUAAUUCAUGUAUUAAAAUAUUUUAAAUAUUUCAUUUAAAUUUCCUUUAGUUAAUAUUUUUUAGUAUUUAUUUUUUAUUUUAUAGUAAUAAGUUCACUUUACAUGAGUUUUACUGUUGAGUGAUGAAAAAUGAAUAAUUUGAUAUCAGCACGAAUUGGAAUAAUUGUGGUGCUAAUUUUAUAUUAAAUUGGAUAAAUUAUGAAUUUUUAUUAUAUUACAUCACAUCUACUUAUUUUGUAAUAAAUAUUUAAAAUAUAAAAAAAUUUUAUUUUACAUUCAUAUUAUUAUGUAAAACACAAAAUAUAAUUUAUAAUUUUUAUUAAAUUUAUUUAUAAUUUAUAUAAAAUUUUAAAUUAUAUCAUUAUAUUUUUUUUAUCAUAUUUUAAUUAUAUUUAAAAUUAUUAUAUUUUAUAUUUAUAUGUUAUUAUUUUUAUCGUGUUUACAUUCUAAUAAAGUAAACGAAGCGCAGACCAUGACCAUGAGAAAUUGAGAAUCUAAAAAUUCAGUGUCUUCCCGAGCGCAACGAAGAUGCUUAGAUAAUUUGUAUUAUUGUAUUAUAUUUUAUAUUAAAUUUAAUUUUAAAUAUAAUAUAAAUAAUUUUAAUUUAAAUACGAUAUGAACAUAUGAAUCAUAUAAAUAAUAUAAAUAUAAUAUAUUUAUUAUAUAUAUUACACAUAAAAUCAUAUAAUUAAUAUAUUUUAAAUUAAUUAAUAUUCAAUUAAUAUAAUACGAUAUAAUAUAAUUAAUACGAUUAUAUAUAAAUAAUAAAUUAAAAUUAAUUAUUUAUUUAAAUAAUAUAAAAUAAUAUGAUACGAUUACAUGAUUAUAUAUAAAUAAUAUGAUUGAUACGAUUGUUUUAUUUAUUUUAAAUAAAAAUAUUAUUAAAAUUAGUAUUUAAAUAAAAAUUAUUUAAAAAUUAAAUAUUUAUAAUAUAUUUAAACAUCAAAAUAUUAUGAUAAAUAUGAUUAUUAAAUUAUUUUUUGAAAUAAAUUAAAAUAAAAUUUAAAGUUUUUUAUGUUAUAAAUAAUAUCAUAUUUUAAACAUAUUAUUAUAAUUUAACAUAAAAUAUAAUAUAAAUAAUAUCAUAUUUUAAUUACUUUGACACAAUUAAAAUAUAAAAUAUAAUUACAUUAAAUUUAUAUAUAAUUUUUUUCAUAUAAUUUCUAUAUAAUAUCGUGAGAUCUCAUUGUUCAUCUUUAAUUAGGGUGACAGUCAAAGCGCCCUGAGGCCGCUUCCACAAAAACUGGGAUGGCCUCACUUCUACGCACAGGAGGGGAAUAGGAUUCCGACUUCUACCAAUAUUAAGGGAUUAAAGUGAUAAUUAAGAUUGAAACUUCCUUUUUACCUACUUUCGUUUCUCUUUAACCGGUCUCAAUUUUUACUGCAAAUUAAAGAUUUAAACAGCUUGAUAUAUUUAAAUUUGAAAUUUUAUUAAGUUAAUUUUUAUUAUUAGUUUUAAAAGAUGGUAUUUAAUAAUUUUAAAUUUUAAUAUUUAUAACUUUUUUCAAGUUAUAAAUUUUUUUGUAAAAAUAAACUAAAUAUAUUUCUAACUUAAAAAAAAAAAAAAAGCUCUGAUACAAAAAUAUUUUAAGAUAUUAUGUGAACAAAUUGCUUUUUUUUUCUUUUAUAGAAAAAAGCAUGACGAAGACCAGAGAAUUUAAUAAGUAGAAGCACCAAAUUUCCAUACAAUUAAACAUUAUAAUAUUGGGUUGUAAGAAGACUAGCUAAUUAAAUUUCUUGGGUUUAGGAUUUAUUUAAUCUCAAAAUAGCAUGUCAUUGCCAUAACCAGUUACUAUUUCUGAAGAAGGCAAUGCUGUUCAAAGAGUUUAUAUGAUUAACCCUCCUCUCUUUAUUCUCAUGGCAGAUGGUGGAAUCAUGGUUGGUCCCCAAAAUGACAUGUAUAUUAAAUACAAUAAGAUAAAUGAGAUAAAAAUAAUAUGCUAUCAAAUAAAUAAUUAAUAUUUUACUUGAAUAUUAUCGAAUUUCAAAUAAAUAAUUAUCAAUAAAAGAAUGAUGCAAUUGAUAAAUUUAUUUAUUUUUAUAAUAAAUAAUUUUAAAUUUAAAUUUAAUCUAUAUGUAUUAACAUAAAUUUUAAAUACAUAAAUUUUAUAAUUUAUGAUACAUUUUAUUUUAACAAGAAAAAUUGAACAAACUUUUAUAUGAAGUUUUUUAUAUCAAAAUAAAUAAAUAAAAAUGACAUGAGUGAUAAGUCAGGUAUCUUCGUGAUCUCAUUCACAUUAGGACCACUUAAUAAGAUUGAUGAUAAAAUGCAGGUAACUGUCAGCCUGUCACUUUUAAUUUUGUCUAUAUCAAGAAUCACGAGAUUAAUAUCAAAAUUAAAAUUAAUUUCUAAUUUACUGCUUCUGUUUCUUUGCUAAAAAUUGAGGCAGCAUAAAUUUCUGAUGCAAAGGUUUCUCUAAUUGUCACUAAUAUUGUUGAUCCCUCUAAUGAUAACAUCUGCUAUCCACAUGUAGGCCUCGAUAGUUGUUACCCCAUUUUGAUUCAGAUUGAUUCUGGUGGGUAUUCUCUGAACUUGAUCAAUCUCAAUCCUGAAAUUACCUUCGUUUUUCACUUUCCAUUCCUGCUUUCUUUCAUGUGUUCAAGACACAAAAUGAUGCUACAAUCCUAAAGAUCGCAACCGGGAUUUUUCCCUUCGUUUCGAUUCCUAUGGUUUAGGGUUUCAUCAGAGUUGAAACUCAAUCGAAUACAAAAAAAAGUUCAACAAGGGCUCAUGAACGUGACUCAUGUAUUUAUAAACAGAUAUGAUAAUUUAAAAUACGAUACAGUAAUAUGAUAUAAAUAUAAUAUAAAAAUAUAAAAAUAAUAUCAUUUAAAAUUUUUAUAAUAAUUAUAUAUAAAUUUAAUAAAAAAAUAUUUUUUAUUUUUAUAUCGACAUAAAUUAUAAUAUAUAUUUUUUAUUAAAAAAAAUAUGAAUUUUAAUAUUUUAUAUGAUAAAUACACAAGUUAUUGGAUUUAUUUAUAAGAAGAGAAGAAAUCCAAGUUUCAUUUUUCAUCGGUAAUUGCCAUGAUGAUCAUGUUCGACGUGGGCUCAGCCAUGGAAACCGGUAAGAAACUACUAGAUUAUUGAAUAUAAUUGAUCAUCGAUAUUCUUUCCUAGCUAACCUUGUUUCCUAUGUCUUCUGCUGCUUUUUCUUCUUUGCUAGUCAACUUUGCAUCACUCUUCGUGCAGGCCUUUUAGCCAAACAAAUGUCAUUGGGUACUUGAUUUUGUUUGAAUCAAUUGGCACCACAAGGCCCGAUUUUGUUUCCUAGCUUGCGAAACUGAAUCAUCAAAGUAGCACCUUUUGAUUACUUUAUGCAACUCGUUUUUUGUCUUACCUUGCUAUUACUUUGGAAUAUAUGAUUUAAUUCCAUUGUCGGUUGCUUUAAACGUGCCAAUUUAAAACAAUUAUUUUUUAAAGUCACCGUCAAAUUGCCUUUUUUUUUUUUUUGAAAAAUGUUAAUCGGUGCCUAAUAGCACACUGGUUAAAGUGAUAAUUAGGGAAAAAAAAAUGUAUGCAAAAUUCUUUCUUUAAAUAGUGUUUUAAUUACUUUUAAAUAUUUGUUAUAAGCAUUCAUUAAUCGGAAUUUUUUAAACAAAAUUUUCAUUAUUCUCUAAUUAUUAACACAGUUAAUUAAUCAUUGGAAAGUAAUUAAUCAAGAGCGAGUGAAAAUUGGAAAUGAAAAUAGUUUUUUCUGUAAGUAAUCAAUGUUUUUGGGUUUGUUUAGUUCGUAGGACGAAGAGAUGACUGAUUCAAUUGGUCAGUCUAUUUUGUAGGAGACCCAAGAUGUCAAUGCCUCUAUGACUUGCGAACAGGGACCUUUGAAUAGUAGAGGAGACAGCAUUCAAGCUCUCAAGGAAAAUCUUUGAAAUUAAAAAAAAAAAAGCAUUCAACCUACUAAUGCAUAAUUGACAAUUAUACGAAUUUUUUAUUAUUAAAACACUUAGCAGCAGUGCUUUAUAUUUUGCAUAAAGUUUCUCAAUUGCCGAUACAAAAAACUUCAAUCGAGAUUUAAUUUAAAUGAAUAAUGAGAUUGAUUUUAAUAAAAUUAAUAAAAUUAAUAAUAAUAAUAAUAAAAAUAUUAUAAUUAUGAUUUAAAAAUUUUAAUAUUAAAUAAAUUUUAUUAAAAUUAAUAUUUAAAUUUAAUUAAUGAUACAAUAAAUUCAAUUAUAUCAUAUUUAUAUACGUGUGGAAUCAAAUUAAAGCUUAGAAAAGAGCAUUGAAACCUUAAAGAAUACAUAUGAUCAUCAGAUUCUCUAGUCUUGAUCAAAGCCAAAAUAUGCCAGCAAAGCCAAGGAUAUCUACAAUUAAAGAAGAAAAAGAGAAGAAAGGGACAGCACAAAAUACCAGGAUGAUCAUUCUGAAUAUCCAGGAUAUAUUUAAUCUGUUAUCCUUAUAAAGAGAAACACAAACAUCAAUGAUCUCAAAUCAAACGAAAGGUCGGUACAAUUUUCCAUUCUUUUUCACAUUUUGCCCACACUUUCACCUGUCUCCCAUCCAUAAGAUCACAUUCUGAUGGGCUUCCACUUCCAACACUUUUUCUACCGGCUACAAGGAGAGGAAAAAAAAAAAAGUGUUCCUGAGUCGUCGUGACCUGGCCAUUGAUUGUGGCCUGAUAAAUGGGUUUUUUUUUUGACACCAUGCAAUCUAUAAACUAUAAGCAAUAAUUCAAGUGCAUGUUACUGAACUGUUUCCAACUUUUACCUCUACUUUGGCCUAUUUUUUUCUUUCUUUUUACAGAUAUUUAAAGGAGCUUUAAUAUAUCCAAAUGUUCUACAAAAUAACUCUAUAAUUGUUGCUCUAACAACUAAUUUCAAAACAGUCAAUUCAGUGUCAAGCUGUUUCUUUAAUGAUUUAAAUAUCUUUUUUUCCACUUUUUUUUUCCUGUCAUUUUCAUGUUGAUUAGAGCAGCCUCAGGAAUUAUGGCAGCAAAUAGUUAAAAUACUACAAUCCUUCCACAUUUGUGAGAGAUCAUCUGUGAAGAACUUUAUCCAAGGCCACUGGGACCGUUUUUUCGUCAAGAGACGUCAUCAAUAUCCAAAGGAUGAACUAUUCAUCAACAGUUUGAGCGUUGAAGUUUGAUACAUGGCUCAUAAUUCACCAUAAAAUUUGCCAGAAGCCCAUAACCCUCAUGUGGCUCAUUUAUGAUAUAUCCAUACACUAUUGACUUCUUAUUUAGUUUCUUGCAUCUCUAAAACAUUUUUAAAACAUCAUUAUAAUUCCACAUUGAUCACUCAUCUCUCAUGCAUUUAUUAGAAUCCAUUUAUCUUAUCUGGAUGGAGAAUUUUUUUCCAUUGAAGACUGAUUAUUUUAGAUUCAUUUGGUCAAGAAAAUGUUGAAAUAUACUCUAGCGAGAGGAUAGAGAAGGAAUUUAUUUAUGUAGUCUAAAAUUAAUUUAAUUUUAUACAAAUUUAUAUUUUUUUAUCAGAUUUAUAUUUUAUUAAUUUGACUGUUGAAUUUUAUAUUUUAUUCACAUAAAUCAUGUAUGUUAAAUUUAAAGUUAAUUAAAAAUGUUUAAAUAUUUGUUUGAUAAUAAUAAAAUUUUAAUAGUUAAUAUAUAUAAAAAAUACUAUUCUAAAAGGAAAUUAUAAAAAUAUCGAAUCAAAUGUGCAGGACAAAUACAAAUAAAUUAUUAAAUUUGUAAAAAUUUUAAUCGUACAUGAAAUACACAAAAAAAUGUAAAACUAUUUGUUUUAUAACGGUGUAAUUACAUCGUCUCUCAUUUAAAGAUAUAAUCGAGUCGAGUUGAUACAUUAAGAAGCUCGAGUUUGAGUUCGACUUACAACUCAAAGUUCGAUACUCACCUUGAACUCGAUUGAAUUUUAUUUUUCAAAUUUGAGCUCGAUUCGUAAUAAAAUUCGAGCUAUUCGAGCUCGCUCGAUUAAGCUCGAUUAAUAUGUGAAAAUAAGCUCGAUUCAUAUACUCGAUAAUAAUUCAAUUAUUUAUGUUGAGCUCAAAUUCGAAUUUAAACUCGAAAUAUUUUAUUAAUUAAAAUAAUAAAAAUAUAUGUAAAUAUAAAAGCUCGAUUAGGCUAGUUAGUUAUUCGAGUCGGAUAUAAAAAUACUUGAAUUCGGUUCGAUCGAUAAAUCGAGCAACUCGAGCUCGAGCUCAACUCGAUAAUAAUCGAACCGAAUUCGAGUUUUUUUCGAAUUGAACCUGAAUAAUUUACGAGUACUAAUGUAUAAUUUAUACCCCUACUUUCAUCUAAUUAAUACAUAAAAAUAUAAAAAUGUCAAUAUAUAUAUAUAAUAUUAUAUAGUCACCAUCCAAAAUUGACUACAAAAUCCAUAUCAUUGGUGCAAACAUUCUGCAAUAGUAACUUAGUCAACAUUCAGUGUUUCAUUAUAAUAGCAGCUGUUAUAUAGUCACCAUCGAAAUUUGACUAUAACAUUCAUAUAAUUACUGCAAAUGCACAAUAACAAUUUAAUCACCAUUCAAUGUUCCAUUAUAAGAGUAGCAAAAUUCUUUCGAAAAUGACUUGAAUAUCACAAAAUAAUUAUGUAAACUAAAAAACUUUUAAUACCAAAAAAAAAAAAAAAAACAGAGGAUAUCACGUGAUCUAUUGAUAUAUUAUUUAAUUUUUACUUUUAAUGAUUAAGAUUUAAAUUUUAACAAUUUCAAAUAAAUAUAACAGAAGUAUCAUUAAUUAUGUUAAAAAAUGCAAGGCUUUGGAUGUUAGAGUUAAUUUAGAACUCUACCUUUGGCAAUAGUUUGGAAUAUAUUAAUAAGUUGAAAGGCAUUUUAAUGCUAAUAGAAUUGUUAUAAUUCAAUUAUUCAAAUUUAAGAUCAAUUCGAUCUUGAUUGAAACGAAACUUUAUAAAAAAAAAAUAUUAACUUACUUUUUUAACUUUUAAUAACUUAAUUGUUUUAUUCAUCUAUUAAACAGUUUAUAUUUGAUAUAUUGUUAAUGUAUAACUUUUUUACAUUAUUAAUAAAUUAAAUUAUGAUAAUUCAAUAAUGAAACAUAUAAGAUAAUAAUAUCUUAUUAAUAAGUAUUUUUUUCAAAAUACGGAGGAGUGCCGUUUUGAAGGCAUCUAUGCAGAUCGGGCUGCAGUGAUCGGGCUCCCAAAUGAGCUAUAUGACUGCUUGGUGCUUGCAUUUUGGUAAAGAUCAAUCUUACAUCAAGCAAGGGACAAGGAGAUCAGGACAUACAAUCUUUGUAAGUGGGCUCAAAUCUUGGAGCUGAAAAUAAAUUCGCUCUGAGUCCUAAAUGAGGUAUGACUACCAACCAGCAGAGAUCCCAUGGGCUUUGUUCACACUUCUUUAAGCCCACAAGUAUUACUGUCGAGGACAUCGGCCGAGAGUUUGUGAUUCCUGUGGGUUUGUGAUGAUUGUUUGUUAACUAUGUGAACCAAAAUAGGAGGGGAAAAUGGAAACAAAGUUGAUGUAAAAUCCUAGUCCAAACAAACAGAAGCCAUUGUCAUAAUAUAGCAAAUCACAAGUAAACAGAGCACAAACUUGCACCCCAUAUUAUCAUUUUGGCAGCAGUCUUUGAUUUCAGGACAGUAGUCCUGAUCCAUACUUAUUCAACCACUGCAAGACGAAAAAAAGGCUUUAAAAUUCAUUAUUACAAAUACUGACAAAGUAAAUGAAGGCAGACUCUAGAAAUAACAGAUAGUAAUUAAAUAGAAAGUUCCAGGACUCCCUUCAGGCUGAUCAUUCCAAUCCUGUUGCUCUCCGUUGGUCUUUUUGUAAACCCCAGUUUCUUACUUUAAGCUGAAACUCAGCUGAAGCAGCUGGAACUUCACUGUCUGGAUUGGACUCAGUAUCUCAAUUACCUUCCUUACAGUGGAGCCUCGGAGUUUAUCAGCUCUCUCCAGUGUCCUUAGCAUCCUGCCCUUAAGUGUCUCCAUUGCCGACUCAAGCUCUAACGCCUCGCCAUCUUUCAGACUCCCAAAACGCCUAGCCAGGUUCAACAGCGGAGGAAUUACCACGCUCUCUUGAAUCGUCGUCAUUGCUUCUGUCAACUCUCGUUCUCUCUUCUUUUCUCGUAUUUAGCUCGCUCGAUGUUUUCUUCUCGUUCAGGGGUUAAGUCCAUUACUGAGUUGGCCAGUAUUUUAAAGAGUAAGAAUGGUUUGAUUUUGAACCCACCAACCCAGAGGAGAGGCUUCUCGAAAGAACUCAACCAUGGAGGAGAGUCGAAGAGAAACACCUCUUCUUUCGAUGCCCUGGAUUUCUCUUCUAAGUACUGUUCGUAGUGAGACAAGACUUCUUGAACCAAGCUUCCCUGCUGUUCGAUUUCGUGCCCGUCCUGGGAUGUGAGUGCUUGGACAAGCUGUUCAAGGAAGUUUUCCUGACGAAUGGGCCAACCAUUGAAGACAACAAGAAGAGUAAGAAAAUUUUGGAUUUUCUCCAGGACUAAGCAUUUGGAACGCUUAGUGGAACAAAAAAAAUUGUGAAAUUGUAUUAUCUUAUUAAUGGAACAAUUUCUUUGCCUCUUGUUGUGCCUACGAAACGCGAGGCAACAAGAGUGGCCUUUUUCCAGGAAAGGCCGGAAGGGUCUGUGGGAACAAAUGAGGUCUCAAAAGGUUUCAUUUACUUCUUAAGUACUGGGCUACAAUGAAAGAAAUCAAAGAACAAAUGAAAAUGAAGGUCUAGGCUCCAAAAUGGGCCUUGCUAUUGGACAAUACCAAAGAAGUAAAUGUCAGGCCACCAGCAAAUCAAUGGAUAAAUUAGUCAAAUAAUACAAAAAAAAAUUAAUUAUGUUAAUAAUUAUAUUGAAAUUUAAAAUAUCAAAAAAUAAAAAUAUUAAAUAUUAAUAAAAUAAUAUACAAAAACUUGGCUAUUUCCCUUUGGACAAAACCACAAAUAAGAACCUACUUAUCCUUAAUUAAUGAACUUAAGUAAAUAAUAAUAAUAAUAAUAAUAAUUUAAUUAACUUGAUGUAACGAGUUAAUUAUUAAUUAAUUAAUUAAUUAAAGUAAUUACCUUUGAGUGUGUUGAAGAGAAAGACAGUGACCAAAAGUAGGGACCCCAGGACUAAUUAUACCGACAGGUAAGAUACAAGCCAAAAGGCAUCCUCAAAUCAUGUUGCCAUAUCAAAACGUUUAUUAAUGUAUUAAAAAAGCAAUGAUUAAUAUUAGUAGUACCACAUAGCUUUAUAAUUCAUGAACAGACAAAGGCAGAUAGAAAUGGAAGGGAAAGUUAGAAUUAUAGGCCAUUCUAAAACGACAAACCGAAUAACAAGAAAAAUGAAGCAAUCCUUUGGGUGUGCUUGGGAAAUAAGCAUGAGCACUUUAUUUUAACUUUAACAAUUAAAGACGUAAGCGAUUUAUGAUUUAUUUAUUUUAAAAUAUUAUUUAUUAAAAUUUAAUAUAUAAUAUAGACAAAUAAAUAUUAAUUAUGUUCGUAAAUUAUUUGUGUUUAUAUUUUAAAUCUAAAAGCACUAAAUAUGAAUACAUUUUAUUAUAUUUGUGAUUUAAUUAAUUAAUUAAUUAUAAAAUAUUAUUUGUAAUCAUUUUAUUAAAUUUAAUAAAUAAAUAUAAGACAAAAGAGUUAAAAAAUUAUCAAAUAAAAAUUAAAUAAUUAUCUAAAUUUUUUAUAUUUUAUUAAAAUUUUAUUUUUAAUCAAUUAAAGUCUUAAAUAUUUAUUUUUAUUCAAUUAAAUUUUUUAUUAAAUAAAAAUAACUAAUUAUUUUUUCUUUACUAAAAAUAAAUAUUUUAAAACUUAAUUGAUUGCAAAAAAAAAUGAAUGAUUAUUAAAUUUUAAUUCAAAAAAUAUUUUUUUCUUUUUACCAAAAUCUAAAGGAACAGAAAUAAAACAUGUCGACGUACUGUUUGUUCCCUCUACACCGCCGAUAACAACCCGAAAGCCAAAAUAGAAUGAGCUAUUUAAAAAUAAUAAUAAUAAAUUAAGAACACAUGCUAAAAGAGCAAAAGUGACCCGACCUAUGGGGAGUGGGGGACACCUAACCAAACCUCCCAACUCAAACGACCUUGCAUGAAAGGGAAAUCAUUAAUUAUUGAAAUUUGCUUCCGUUUUUCUCUAAAAUGACCAUGUUGUUUUGCAUUUUUAAAGGGAUAAAUGAGUACUGACCGACACCUUAUUAUACCAGAGAACUUGGCAGUUGCUUCAUGGUACCGUCCAAAACAACAUAAAUACGUGAUCCGAUAGUUGCCCUCCAAAUGUACUUAAAAUUUCCAAUUCAGGCAAUCUCCUAAUAUCUAGUUUCUGUUCAUCAUUCAUGCGUGGCUUUCUUUGUAAUUUUCUUCAAUUCUAAUGUCGUUUUUAUUUCUUCGUUGAUUUUUUCGUCACACUGUCUAACCUGCCAGUCUUCUUUUCCACUCUCUCAACGGGAACCGCCACCUCUCUCGAUGGAAAACUCAAAUUUUCAACGAUCGGAUAGCCAAAUAAUCCGGUUUUAGAGAGAGAAACAGGAACGGUUAUAGAGAGAGAAAGAAAGAAAGAAUCGUGAAAUUCAAAGGGAAGGGAUGGCGAUUUCCGAAGCAGACCGCCAACGAGCGAGAGGGAGACCUCCAGGGUCGUCUGCAACUCGACCGGCUACUCGACUGCCUGUUCGAGCUAGAGUUCCACUCCGACAGCUGCUUCGAGUCGCCUCCGUGGCUUGUGGGAUACAAUUUGGGUGGGCCUUACAGCUCUCUCUCUUGAUACCUUACGUUCAAGAGCUAGGAAUACCUGACAAGUGGGCCAGCAUCAUAUGGCUUUGCGGCCCGCUUUCGGGCCUCCUGGUGCAGCUUCUGGUGGGCCACAUGAGCGACCGAUGCACCAGCCGGUUCGGUCGUCGCCGACCUUUUAUCGUAUCUGGUGCAGUUUCGAUUAUCGUUGCCGUUUUGAUCAUCGGUCACUCGUCCGAUCUCGGGUGGCUGUUCGGAGAUAGAGGAGGCUAUCGGCCGAGAGCUAUCUUGGCGUUUGUUUUCGGGUUUUGGAUACUUGAUGUUGCUAAUAACAUGACUCAAGGUCCUUGUAGAGCUCUUCUUGCUGAUCUUACUGGUUAGUUUUUUCCCCCUUUUUUUGCAUUUUUUUUAGAAUCAUAUAAAACCCUAGAUGAUAUGAUCGUUCAGUUUGUUGGACCAUUUGAUUGGUUCAAUUGAGUUUUGGUAGGUUUUCAAAUGCAAUGUUACCAAUCUAGGGUCUUAUUAAAUUGAGCUUGAUCAGAUCAUUUAACUAUAAUUUUUAUCACUCCAUUUCCUUAAUGAAUGAAUAACCUUCCCAGAUUGUUUAGCAUUUAUAUGAUAUUUAUGCUAAUCCGAUUGUUUCCACUCCACAUUUUUGGCAAUCAUAGGUAAUGCAUUGUAAGUGCCUAAGGUUUAUUAGAUGAUAAAGAUACCCACUACUAAUUACAACUCCUGCAAUUUCAUGAAGUAGUUUGCAAAUUUUUUUUGAACUAUGCAUAAAAGAUUCAUCUCUUAGUUUUUGUUUAUUCCUUUAUGACAUAGUAAUUAUCACAAAAUUACCAUUUUAAGAGAUAAAUCUUUACAUUUAAAAUUUCUUAUGUAAUAUUUCUUAGAAUGUGAUUGUCUGAUCACGGAGUCAAACUUCUCUGUCAAAAAGUUUUCCAUAGGUUAUCCUUGUAAUUGGCACCUGAGAUUAUACUGCAAAAUUUCAUGAUAAUAAUACCUAAGGUUCCUUCACAUAGAAUAAAUAAAGAAACUUGAUACUGUGCUUGCCAGUUUGCAGUUCUAAUCUGAAAGCACGUGAAAUUAUUUCUUUACAUGUUUUGCCAUGUAAAUCAACACACAAACGAAUUAAAAUUACAAUGGUGGGGUUUUUUCUAUUGUCAAAUAACAGUAAAAAAUUGUGUCUACAACUGUUUGAUGUAUAAAUAUAAAAAUGAUGAAACCAGCUUCAAAUUGACAUUAUCUUCUUUCACUCUUAUGUUAGGAAAGGAUCAUCGAAGAACCCAAGUGGCAAAUGCUUACUUCUCUCUAUUCAUGGCUGUCGGCAAUGUUCUUGGCUUUGCAACAGGAUCGUACAGUGGUUGGUUUAAGGUUCUUCCAUUACCAUGACAGCGGCCUGUGAUGUUGACUGUGCAAAUCUCAAGUCUGCUUUCUUUCUAGAUAUUAUUUUUAUUGCAAUUACAACAUAUCUAAGCGUUUUAGCUGUUAAGGAAGUGCCACUAGGUUCAUGUGUUAGAUCUACACCCUUUCACGAAGAGGGGCCUGAACAGUCAGGUGGCCAUGCUGAAGAAGCUUUUCUAUAGGAAUUAUUUGGAACAUUUAGAUAUUUCUCAGGGCCUAUAUGGAUAAUCUUGUCUGUUACUGCACUGAAUUGGAUUGGAUGGUUCCCUUUUCUUCUCUUUGAUACUGACUGGAUGGGUCCAGAGAUCUAUGGUGGUCAGCCAAAUGAAGGGGGGAAUUAUAAUGCUGGGGUCAGAAUGGCGCAUUGGAUUGAUGUUGAAUUCAGUUGUUCUGGGAAUUACAUCAGUGCUUAUGGAGAAGCUUUGUAGCAAAUGGGGAGCUGGUUUUGUCUGGGGAGUUUCAAACAUUCUCAUGGCGCUGUGCAUUCUCUCAAUGCUUAUUCUAUCAUAUGUGGCAAAUCAUAUGAAUUAUAUUGGCCAUGAUCUACCCCCAGAUGACAUUUUGAUUGCUGCACUAGUGAUUUUUUCCAUCCUUGGUGUUCCAUUGGCGGUAAGCUGCUCUCUUUCUCCUACAGAAAAUUAUUUGAUCUUUUAAUUGAAUUUGUCGAGAAUAAAAGGCAUGGAGAUAGUAGUUAUUUUCUCCACCUGGACUAUAUGUAAUCAACAUCUGGCUACUCUGCAUCGGCAUUCGGAAGAUUACUGUUUAACCAAUCUUAACUUGGUGAUCUUCUUGGUUCAAAGCAUAAAACAUCAUCAAUCUAGUCGCAUGAAAGUACUAAAACAUUGAUCCUAUUGACUGUAAUUUAAUGAUCAAUUUUAUUUGCUAGACAGUCAGAUCUUAAAACAGGCCCAAACUGUGACAGGGCCUGAGGUUAGCCUGGUUCUGCUAAUGUCCCAAUCAAUCUUCCCUUUUAGAAAAGCAAAAAAAAAAGAUAAAUAUUGGGAGCAUUCAGUUUGUGCAUUUAACUAAUGCUACUGGUAUUUCAUUUCAGAUUACUUAUAGUGUUCCAUAUGCCUUGAUAUCCACACGUAUUGAGUCUUUGGGACUUGGCCAAGGUAGGCAAUAUUUUUAUUUUUGCAUCCAGAAUUUUGCUCUGUUUUACCUUUUGGAAAAGUGGUUAAGAUUCUGAUUCUCUUGGUUGUUUUCUACAGGAUUAUCAAUGGGUGUCCUAAAUCUUGCUAUUGUUAUUCCUCAGGUAUUGCUUUGCACGUGAACUUAUUUUACUGCUAUCUAUCUUCUCGUUUCUUCCUUUUUUGUUGUUGUUGGGGGCAGGGGGCUAAAUGAACUUGAUUGGUUUUUACUAAUCCUCCCCAUCUCUGUCCCUAACUUCAAUUGACAUCCCUUCCCUGGCCCUUGUCCCUGUGGAUUCAUGAUGGGACAGGACCCCUGAAUUGAUACGUAUAGGAGUUUGGAAAUAUACUUAAAGAUAUACAAAAUAUAUUUGAACCUAAUUUGAUCAUGAUUUGUGUGGAAAAACUAAGAAAUAAAUCAGUGUGAAAACUGAAUGUAUGUUGGAAAACUGCUUAUUGAGAAUUAUACAAGAAUCUUAGGUUUAUAUACAACUAACUAGGGGUUAAACUAGGAAACUAAAUCUUCCUAAACAACUAAUCCUAUAAUUGAGGGAUUGUCUAUCCUAAUUUUAGGGAUACAAAUACUUAAUUCUAGAGAUACAAAUAUAAAUAUACAGAUUACAAUAUUACAAUCAGUUGUAAAUAAGUGUUUUUCCACACUCCUCCUCAAGCUAGUGAAUAGGUGUUUUCCAUUCCCAGCUUGGAAAUAAUUUCUUGAAAUGUUGCACUACUGAGACCUUUAGUCAACACAUCUGCAAGUUGACCCUUGGUUGAUACAUAAGGUGUACAAAUCAACCCAUUGUCUAGUUUCUCCUUUAUGAAAUGCCGGUCUACUUCAAUGUGUUUUGUUCUAUCAUGUUGCACAGGAUUGUGUGCAAUGCUUAUUGCAGACUUGUUAUCACAGUAGAGUCUCAUUGGUCCAUCCCACUUGAUCUUCAAGUCUUCUAGGAUAAUCUUUAACCAUAGUAGUUCACAAAUUCCUUGAGCCAUUGCUCUGAACUCUGCUUCAGCACUUGAUCUUGCCACCACAUUUUGUUUUUUACUCCUCCAAGUCACAAGAUUACCACCUAAGAAAGUGCAGUAGCCUGAGGUGGAUCUUCUAUCAAUUACUGAACCUGCAUAAUCCGCAUAUGUAUAUGCUUCUAGAACUGACCCUGAAUUUCUUUUGAAUAAGAUCUCUCCUAGGAUUGGCCUUCAAAUAGUGCAAUAUACGGUAGAUAGCCUGUAGGUGCACUUCUUUAGGACUAUGCAUAAAUUGACUUACCACACUCACAGCAUAUGCUAUAUCAGGUCUAGUAUGUGAGAGAUAAAUGAGUCUUCCAACUAAUCUUUGGUACAUCUCUCUAUUUACAGCAGCAUCUUCAUUAGCUUCUCCAAUUUUAUGAUUAGGAUCUAUAGGGGUAUUUGUAGGUUUACAUGCAAGCUUCCCAGUUUCCUUCAGAAGAUCCAUCACAUAUUUCUGUUGUGAGAUGAAAAUACUAUACCGUGAGUGAGCUACUUCAAUUCCUAGGAAGUACUUCAAUCUCCCUAGCUCUUUUAUCUCAAAUUCUCUAGCCAAACACUGUAUUUCUGUUGUGAGAUGAAAAUACUAUACCGUGAGUGAGCUACUUCAAUUCCUAGGAAGUACUUCAAUCUCCCUAGCUCUUUUAUCUCAAAUUCUCUAGCCAAACACUGUUUUAGAGAUUCUCGCUCUUUUUCAUCAUCUCCAGUUACUAUUAUAUCAUCAACAUACACUAAUAGAACUGUGACUCUCCCUGAAUCAGAGUGCUUGAUAAACAAUGUGUGAUCUUCUUAACUCUGUUUAUAUCCCAUUGCUAGCAUCACUUUGGAAAAUCUCCCGAACCAAGCUCUAGGAGACUGUUUAAGGCCAUAUAAAGCUUUUUUUAACCUGCAUACUUUGUUUGCUUCUAGAUGACCUCCAAAUCCCGGUGGAACCUUCAUAUAUAUUUCUUCUUCCAAAUCACCAUGUAGAAAAGCAUUCUUUACAUCAAAUUGUUGAAGCUGCAAACAAAAUCCUAACUGUAUUCAUCUUGGCAACUGGAGCAAAGGUUUCUUGGUAAUCCACUCCAUAGGUUUGAGUGUAGCCCUUAGCCACUAACCUGGCUUUAUACCUUUCAACAGUACCAUCUGCCUUGUAUUUUACAGUGAAAACCCAUUUAGAUCCCACUGGAUUUUUUUCUUUAGGCAAUUCUACCAGUUCUCAUGUUUGAUUUUUCUCUAAGGCCUCCAUUUCUAUUUUCAUGGCUUGCCUCCAUUUCUCAUUGGAUAAUGCCUCGGAUAAUGUAGUUGGAAUAGAAAUAGUGUUUAGGCUCACAAGAAAAUUUUUGUGGGAUGGUGAGAAUUUUUCAAAUGACACAAAAUGAGAGAUUGGGUAUAGUGGAUGCUUGGUACAUUCUCUGGUUCCUUUCCUAAUGGCAAUAGGCAGAUCAUAAUCACUAGUUAUAGUUUUAAGAGAUUCAUGCUCACUAGUUAUAGGGUGUAAAUGUUGAAGAAGGGAGCAAAUCAAGCAAAAAGAAGUCUUUAUCCUUAUCUUCUAUGAAUGAAAUCCCCCUUGAAGAUAAGGUUGAGUAAAAAAUGGUUUAUUUUCUUCAAAAACGACAUCUGCAGGCACUUAAAAUUUUUUGGUAGGAGGAUGAUAGCACUUAUAUCCUUUUUGAGUUGAAGAAUACCUCACAAAAAUAUACUUAAUCACUCUUGGAUCCAACUUUCCCCUAUUAUGACUGUGAACAUGAACAAAUGAUGUACAACCAAAUAUCCUAGGUGUGAGAUUGUUUGUGGUUUUGAGGUUGGGAUAAAAUUGUGAGAGUAGUUCCAUAGGAGUUUUAAAUCCCAAAACCCUUGAAGGUAAUCUAUUUAUAAUAUGUGUGGCAGUGAGAACAGCUUUCCCCCAGUAAAAUUUAGGUACAUUUGCUUGAAAAAGAAAGGCUCGGGUUGUGGCUAGUAAAUGGCUGUUUUUCCUCUCUGCCACUCCAUUCUGCUGUGGAGUAUUAACACAAGAUAACUCAUGGAUAAUCCCCUUUUUUUGGAAAUUGGUAGAUAGACUCUGGUUGAAGUAGUCUCUUGCAUUAUCAGACCUAAAUCUCUUGAUUCUCACUCCAAAUUGAUUUUGCAUCAUGUUUUGGAAACUUAAAAAUACACUAUUCACAUCUAAUUUGGAUUUAAGUAAAAAAACUCAAGAGAUCCUGGUACAAUCAUCAAUGAAUGAAACAAACCAUCUCGCAUCAGAAAUAUUAGGAAUUGUAGAGGGAUCCCAAAUGUCACUAUGAAUCAAGUAAAAGGGAGUAGAACUUCUUUUGUUACUGAUUGAAAAAGACACACGUCUAUGCUUUGCAAGUUCGCAAACAUCACAAUGAAAAUUUUCGACAUUUAAUCCUUUGAACAAGGAAGGAAACAUGUUUCUCAAGGUUCCAAAAGAAGGAUGUCCAAGACAAAAAUGAUAAAGUCAGAUUUUGUCUUUAUUGGAAGAUUUUUCAGAAAGAAAUGACAAAGAUAAACUAUUCUUGAUACUACUUGUGUUAUCUGAUGUCUCAAGAUAGUAUAGUCCAUCCUUCCCCUUAGCAAGUCCAAUCAUCUUUCCCAAACUCUGGUCCUGAAAUUCACAAUAAGAGGGGAUAAAAAGUUACUUUGCAAUUCAUAUCUCUGAUAAGUUUUUGUAUAGAUAUCAAAUUAGUAGACAAUCCAGGAACAUGAAGAACAUUUUUUAGAACAAACGAAGGAUUAACUUGAACAUCUCCUAAUCCUGCCACUGUGGUAAGUGAACCAUCUGCAACAACAAUUUUCUUAUUACUAGGACACAGGUUAUAUGUACUAAACUUUUGUAAGGAAUGUGUCAUGUGGUCUGUGGCUCUUGAGUCAAUUAGCCAAGAACUUCGAAUAGGCUUAGCCGAGACAUUUAAUCCAUGAGAACCGGAAGUUUUACCUGAACUAAAAACCUUACCCAAAGAACAUACCACAGUAGGCUUUUCAAGGAUUUUCAAUAAGCUUCUCAGCUUUUCAAUCUCUUCCCUGUCAAAUUCUCUUUGUUUCUGAGACAUCUGUAGUACUUUAGUGAUUUUUUCAGUUAAUAUUUCCUCAAAUUGGGUGGUAGUGAUAUCUUUUUUUGAAAGGGUUCGGCAAUGAAGGCCUAAACAGGAUUCGGCAAUGAAGGCCUAAAAAAGUCAGCAAUGAAGGCUGAAAAUUUUGCUUCCCAAGAAGAGCCUAAAGCUCUGAUACCAUGUGGAAAAACUAAUAAAUAAAUCAGUGUGAAAACUGAAUGUAUGUUGGAAAACUGUUUAUUGAGAAUUAUAUAAGAAUCUUAGGUUUAUAUACAACUAACUAGGGGUUAAACUAGGAAACUAAAUCUUCCUAAAAAACUAAUCCUAUAAUUGAGGGAUUGUCUAUUCUAAUUUUAGGGAUACAAAUACUUAAUUCUAGAAAUACAAAUAUAAAUAUACAGAUUACAAUAUUACAACCAGCUGUAAAUAAGUGUUUUCCCACAAUUUGUUAUCAGUUAUCUGACCUGGACUUGGAUUUGAUUCUGGUCUUCCUUCCAAUACCUUGUAUAUGUUCCUGCUGCACAUUUUUAUCAAUUACUUACAGACUUCCACCUUGUCAUAGAACCGAAUUCUAAUGAAUAAAAAGAUAUCUAUUGUUUUUCUUUAUUCCUGAUUCCUUUUGGUUUCUGACCUGACUAUGACACAAGUUGACACUCACCCAAUUGGCCAAGCAUCCUCAUUUUUUUCUCUGAACCAAAGCUGUCAAAAAAGUAUACUUCGAAUCUUAAUUGCAACUCAACCCAUCAGCUGUACCAUGGUUGACUACCAAUUUUCAUCAACCAGAUUGUUCUGGUUUCUAUAUGAAAAAAAAAAAAAAAAAGUCCAAGAAUCAUUUGUUUUCAAAUGAAAUAUUGUUCGGUUGACCUUGUUGAGCCAAUGGAAUGUUGGCAUCCAACUUUGGACUUAAACCUGCCACCAAGUGCAUCAAAAUUGUUUAUAUUUUACUCAUUUCCUUAUUUUUCAUUCCUCCUGGUAAAAGCACAGAGGAUUAGAAAAUUCUUUUCCGGGAUAAAGGUGGAUAAGUUGGGGAAUAAUCUAUUCUAUUAUAUAAUCUUGUUGGAGAAUUUGCAUUAUACAAGGCAGGACCAUGUUAGAAAUUAAUUGUUUAAGUGAUAUUUAUUAGAGUUAACUAAGGUAUAGGAGUACAGUAAUGCAAUUUUUGCUUGCCAGGGGACCACCAUUACUGAAACUUGUCUGGAUCGGAUCAAGUUAAAGUACCAAAGAAUUUCAAGUAUGCUUCCACUUGCAUUUCAAUAUUUCAUGAAAAUGUGAAUGAAAGGAUUCAAAGGAGAAAGGAAAUGCUGGAAAAUGGUAUGAGAAUGAGAACCAUGCAAGAUCCUUUUAACCUUUUAUAGUUAUUUUUUUUUCUUGGCCUGAUUUGAACCUCCAGGAACCAUUGUUGUGGAAAGCUAAACAUGGAAUCAAACUGAGAAACAACAAAAAUAUUCCCUCAUCAGAUGAAACUUAUGGCUAAUAAAAAAAAAUCUAUGGAUGAUAAUCUUUCUUAAUAAAAAUUGGGGUUUGGAUUAGAUAUCUUGUCUUCAACUUAACUAGAAAAGUAGUACAGUUACCAAUGGUUUAAUUAGGUUAAUUUCAGUUUUUUGCAGGUAGGUGAUAUAAAGUUACCUUGAUAGUCACUCAACCCCUACAAGAUGACAAAAUAUUUGCAAAUGUAUGGAAAUUAAGUUGGGACUCUUGACAAGCUUAUAAAUCAUGUUAGUGGGAAAUUUUUUGGAUGAGCUUAGGAUUUUUAUUCAGUAUUUUUUUUUCUCAUUUUUCGGAGCCAGGAUCUGAGAAUAAACUAAUGUGCUGAGUUCCUUGGAAGUCCAUAUGUGGUUGAGCAGCAUUUGUGAAUCUGUGUCGGAUAGACUAAGAGAUGUGCUCAAUGAUGAAGAGCAAAAGCAAAAGACGUCCACUCUCUACUCCCCAAAAUGUAUUUGCUGCAAUCUGGCUUGGCAAAUUCUCUUAAGCUGCUUUUCUCUCCUUUCUUUUUUUCUUGUCUUUUCAUUUAUCACAUUUUCUUUUGAAGAAGCAAACAUAGAUAAUUGGUAACUGCAAAAUUAAAUUCCUGUCCUAUUUGUAUAAUCAUCUUCUUUAUUAAAGAGGGGAGAAUAAGAUUAUUUCUUGGAAGGUCAAUUCUUUUCUCAAUUUUCAGGCAUUAUCAUUUGUUAAUUUCCAUAGUAUAAAAUAGGGUUUUGGUUUGCCCUAUGAGUCAAUUUAUAAUCAUUUUCAUGUUUUAUUAAAUUGAACAAGUGUCUGCCAUUAAUGUAAUUAAAAGCUUUUAUGUGCAUCAACACAUUCAUGUUUUAUUAGACAAUUAUUAUUGGUUCAGCCACUUUACUAUUUUCUUAUAAAAUAUAUUUUGGUUAGUGGUCAAGGGUGAUGGCAAAUCCUUCUAGAUAAAAGAUAUAGUGAAGUUCUGACUGAAUUUUUUCGGUUUAUCUAGGCCCAUAACCUUUUUUAGAAAAUUAUUGUAGCCCAUAAUAACCAUAAAUUAGUGACUUUGUUUGUGUCCAGCAAAUAACAAUUGAAAAUCUUGUCUAAAUGGGCUGAAGUCUGGCUGUCUUUUUUCUUGAACAUGGGGGGCUUCAACUUUUCCAAAACCCAAUCCUGGCCUACCUAUUUUUCAUUUUCAUUUUCCGCCUUUUCAGAUUGCUUGGGGUAAAAGGGUUUCUGAUUGCAAGUUGAAAACUAUCUGUUAGAAAAUGGUGAUGGCAGCGAGACUAGUUCAGUAGGAUGUCCAAUUCAUCCUAAUUUUAUUAAGAAUCAUUUAUUAUUGUAAGGGUUUAGGAUGAUUUUGGUCUUUUGGAGUUUUAACACUAUGGCCAGAACCUAUUUAAAUAACCUUGAACAAACAAGUAUGGUUGAGCCUUUGAUAAAUCAAGCUAAGGCUUCAAGAAUAAUUACGUUUGCUCUUGCUUGAUUGGUCAGCCAAAAGUUCUUGCCAUCCGAAAUUGCUUUCUGUUGACUUCACAACAUUUUUCAGAUAUUUGGACUCCUUAUGAAUUAGUGUUCUUUAGAUUGUGUUCAAGGCAUUGUUACUGGCUUCUAAUAAGUGGAUUAAAUCUCCCAUAUAUGGAUAGCUAGAGCAAAAAUUGAUCUUGACGAAAUUUAACAAAUCUUGCUCUGCUUCAAGAUCUGAUGAAUCAAAUUGUUUCAGAGCACAAGAAGGAUCAAUUUCCAUUUCUAGGGUUGAUCAGACCAAUAGUAUGUUAUUAUCUCAUUUCCCUGGCAAGAUUUAGUUGAAGAAAUUGGCAUUUCUUGCCUCAUAUUUCUAUUUCUAAACGAGAUAGGCACCUAUAAAUUUUUCCUUGCAGAUUAGCCGCCAUUAUGGAAAAAAUUUUUUGCUAUAGUCAAAGAUUAAAAAGCAUAACAGCUUAUAGGCUCUGGCUAAUAACUUUACAACUGAUCACAAGCUGAUCAAAACAGCUAAUAUGUUACAAAAAUGCUACUACAAUGUUACAAUAUUUCAAGGUUUAUAACUGUAGAUUGAAUUUCUACGCAGAAUCCAUUGCUGCUGCUUCCUUUUUCUUCUGGUCACCGUCCUUACAGAUAACAAUGCCGACCAAUUUGCAUGGUUCAGCCUCUUCCAGCAUUUGAACCACGGUUCUCAUGGUGGGUCUAAGGGCAGGCAGCUUGGUCGUGCACGAAAUGGCAAUUCUCAACACUUUGACAGCAUCUUCUUUGAAAGCAUCUGGAAUUCUUGGGUCCACUAUACCUAAAACACUCUCUUUCUUCUUUAUUUUGCUGCAGACCCAAGUCACCAUGUCAUUACUGUCUCCAUACUCUGGUUCAAUUGGUCUCUUUCCACUCACUAGCUCCAUUAAUACCACUCCAAAGCUGUACACAUCGCUUUUCUCGUUGACUUUGUAGGUGUAACCAUAUUCUGCAGAAUUAACAUUUUAUUAUUAACAAACAGAAUCUAUAAAAAUAAUCUCCUAAUCAAUGCUUCAUUUGGAUGCUUAAAGACAGAUUCCACCAGAAUUUGGUUAAUAUUUCUUAAUUCUCAUCAAUCAAAGGGAACCUGAAACAAUAAACAGUAAAAAGUAACUUACCAGGAGCUAUGUAGCCGUGGGUGCCUGCAAUGACAUGGGUGGAGUCUUUAAAACCAUUGGCCUGAACAAUCUUGGCGAGUCCAAAAUCAGCAAUCCUAGGCUUCAAAAACUCAUCCAGCAAUAUGUUACUAGAUUUGACAUCCCGGUGGAUGACCGGCCUCUCGCAUCCAUGAUGAAGGUACUCUAGUCCCUUAGCUGCCCCAACGGCAAUCUCAUACCUAGUAUCCCAAUCAAGCUCCAUUUUCUUACUCGUAUGCAACAGAUCCCACAAGCUCCCGUUAGGCAAGUACUCGUACACCAACAAGCUUGAGUCUUCACUAGUAAUGCUGCAGUAAAGCUUCACCACGUUGACAUGUCUUAUUGAGCUCAAUGUCUGCACCUCCGCGUCAAAUUCCUUUGCCUUACCAUCACGAUUGCUUAGGAUUGGAGUACUACUCCGGCUUUUUCUGCGGCCAUGAGAAUCUGUAUUCCAUAUAUGUUUCACAGCAAGUUCUACACCAUUAGAAAGCAUUACUUUAUAUACAUUUCCGGACCCUCCUUUUCCAAUCAGAUUCUCUUGCUUGACGGAAUCAAGAAUCUCAUCUUCAGUGAAAGAUAGCAUAUGGAAAGACUUAAAAUCCCAAGAUUCUUUCUUCAAAGAACGGUCGUGGUCUUUUUCUCUUCUCCUUAAAUAUAAGAAAUAUCCAAGCGAAGCAAGCAAGAUCGUUGCACCUAGAGCGAAACAAAUUAUAAGCGUACGGGCAUCUUUAGACAUGCCAGAAUCUGGUGAACAUUGCUUGAAAGAUCUGAUAGUUGAACUGCAAAGGCCAGGGUUUCCGGUCAAGCUACCAUUAUAUGCUUCAAUGGAGAGAGACUGUGGUAUAGGACCAGUUAACUGAUUACAGGAUAGAUCAAAAAGGUUCAGCUUGAGGGACGACAAGCUCUCUGGAAUUUUACCAGAAAGUUCAUUUCGAGACAAAUUUAGAGAGUUCAAUGUCGGCAAAGAUCCCAAAGAUGAAGGAAUUUCGCCAGAAAGAGAAUUGUUAGCCAUGUUUAUGUUACUGAUGGAAGUAAAAGAACCUAAUGACUCUGGUAUAGAACCAGAUAAUCUGUUGUUGUUCAAUUUAAGACUGUUCAAUCUUUUCAGUUCCCCAAUUCCCUGAGGGAUUUUUCCAGAAAUCAGAUUGUUAUUUAGCUCAAUUCUAACCAAAGAUGUAGCUUCUGAAAUCUCUUCUGGCAACUCACCUGAUAACCGAUUGCAUUCUGCGGACAUUAUUGCAAUCUCUUUUGCAUUCUUGAUAUCAGAAGUAAUUGAACCUUCAAAUUGAUUGAAAGAAAUGUCAAUAAUAUCCACUUUCGGUAAUCCCCAUAUUCCAGCAGGAACUAUGCCUGAAAGCGAGUUGUUACCAACUCUAAACCGCUUUAAAGUGGUACAACUUGCGUAAGUCGUCGGAAUUGCACCGGUAAGCCUGUUCUGACGCAUAAGAAGCCCUCUCAUGGUUCCUUUCUUGCACAUGUCUGGAGGAAUUGGACCAGUUAAAAAGUUUUCUGAUACAUCGAUGUAGUCGAAAUCAGCCCAAGAACCUAGCUUUUGAGGCAGAGGACCAGUCAACAUGUUGUUGUAGAGAGACAGAUUCGCCAGUUUUUUUAAUUGACCCAACUCGGGUGGUACUUCUCCUGUAAACUUGUUCCCAAAGAGGUGCAGACUUACCAGGUUGGUCAAAUACCUCACUUCUGAGAUAUCUCCUUCAAGAUGGUUGGUUGAGGCAUCGAAAUACUCUAGUUUUGACAGAUUUCUCAAUCCAACUGGAAGUUUUCCUGUUAAUUCAUUGAAGUAAAGCUCAAGCUGCCAGAGAUUGUGAAGCUUUCCAAUCUCCACCGGAAUUUCUCCAGAUAAAUAAUUGUAUUGGAGCUCUAAAUCUCUAAGCUCAGUGAGAUCGCCAAUUGCUGGAGGAAUCUUCCCUUCAAUGCUGCAAUUCGCCAAAUAAAGCCAAUUCAGUUUCUUUAGCUUCAAAAUCUGAUUAGGAAACGGAGUUCGGUCGAAAAGGUUGUCCCCGAGGCUCAAAACAGCAAGAUUGGUCAUGUUUUCAAGUGAUUUCCAUGGAAAAGGACCAGAAAAUCCGCUGCCAUUUAAAUAAAGGUAUUGUAAUUCGCUGAGAGCAGAUAUAUCAGGAAAUGAACCCGUAAAAAGAUUGCUCCGAAGAUCCAAAUAUUGAAGCUUUACACAAUUACUCAAAUCUUCAGUGAUUGCACCACACAAUAAAUUGUACCCCAAGGAAAGCUUAUCUAAGGAUUGAAGCUGGCAAAUUGAAUCCAAAGGAAGAACACCCGUCAGCUUCUGACUUGAAAACUCGAUUUCCUUAACCGACCCCUCUGCGUUGCAAGUGAUUCCGUUGAAGCCGCAAACAGAAUUGGCAGCCUUCCAUGAAUCAAAAACAUUGUUACUGCUUGAUUUAUCAAGAGCUGAUUUCAGGCUCAGCAAUAUUUGAAGUUCAUCAGAUUUUACGAAACAAGGUAAGCAUAAACCGAACAGGAGAUAUAAAGAGAGCAAGAUUUGCCGUCGAAAGCAGGCGUUUGAUAUGCCGGAGGUUUGAAACAGACGAGAAAGGGGUAACUUUUCCUGAAAGGGUUCUCUUCUAAUUAAGUGGACUCAAAGUAGCGAAGACUCUAAGAAAGAUUGUGGAGGAUAAGGACCGAAAUCCCUGGUAGCUAGAAAGGAAAAUUGACUUUUACAAGGGUGGCAUUUAUUUUUUAUUUUUCUGUUACAAAAGUCAUUGUUUUGCAGUAAAAUUCUAAAAACAAUGGCAAAAUCCCAUUUGUUUGGAACAGGAAAAGUUCUGUCUGAUCGCUGUUCAUUUAUUCACAUCAUGUUACCUUUUUAUUUUUCCUGCUAUUUAUUCAUGUU
rnacentral:lncRNA from 1 species